rnacentral:rRNA from 1 species
GAUGAACGCUGGCGGCGUGCUUAACACAUGCAAGUCGAGCGAAGCACUCAAGUUUGAUUCUUCGGAUGAAGACUUUUGCGACUGAGCGGCGGACGGGUGAGUAACGCGUGGGUAACCUGCCUCAUACAGGGGGAUAACAGUUAGAAAUGACUGCUAAUACCGCAUAAGACCACGGUACCGCAUGGUACAGUGGUAAAAACUCCGGUGGUAUGAGAUGGACCCGCGUCUGAUUAGGUAGUUGGUGGGGUAACGGCCUACCAAGCCAACGAUCAGUAGCCGACCUGAGAGGGUGCCCGGCCACAUUGGGACUGAGACACGGCCCAGACUCCUACGGGAGGCAGCAGUGGGGAAUAUUGCACAAUGGAGGAAACUCUGAUGCAGCGACGCCGCGUGAAGGAUGAAGUAUUUCGGUAUGUAAACUUCUAUCAGCAGGGAAGAAAAUGACGGUACCUGACUAAGAAGCCCCGGCUAACUACGUGCCAGCAGCCGCGGUAAUACGUAGGGGGCAAGCGUUAUCCGGAUUUACUGGGUGUAAAGGGAGCGUAGACGGCACGGCAAGCCAGAUGUGAAAGCCCGGGGCUCAACCCCGGGACUGCAUUUGGAACUGCUGAGCUAGAGUGUCGGAGAGGCAAGUGGAAUUCCUAGUGUAGCGGUGAAAUGCGUAGAUAUUAGGAGGAACACCAGUGGCGAAGGCGGCUUGCUGGACGAUGACUGACGU